UUUGGUUCCACAUGUGGAGAGCUGCAACAUCCACCAUCUCAGCCUGUGACUACCUGGGUGAGAGGAUGGCCUCCCUCUUCGGCAUCACCUCCGCCAAAUAUCAGUACGCCAUCGACGAAUACUACAGGAUGAAGAAAGAGAGGGAGGAGGAGAAGGAGA